GCCUCCAUCGUUCAACGGAUAGGACGUGAGCUUCCGGAGCUUAAAAUAGGGGUUCGAUUCCCUUUGGGGGCA
rnacentral:tRNA from 1 species